rnacentral:rRNA from 1 species
GACGGAGGAUGCAAGUGUUAUCCGGAAUCACUGGGCGUAAAGCGUCUGUAGGUGGUUUAGUAAGUCUGUUGUUAAAUCUUGAGGCUCAACUUCAAAAUCGCAAUCGAAACUACUAGACUUGAGUAUGGUAAAGGUAAAAGGAAUUUCCAGUGGAGCGGUGAAAUGCGUAGAUAUUGGAAAGAACACCGAUGGCGAAAGCAUUUUACUGGGCCAUUACUGACACUCAGAGACGAAAGCUAGGGUAGCAAAUGGG